CGUCCAUCGUCUAAAGGAUAGGAUAGAGGUCUUCUAAACCUCCAGUAUAGGUUCGAAUCCUAUUGGACGUAUUAUUUAAUA
rnacentral:tRNA from 4 species